rnacentral:rRNA from 1 species
GAAGACCUGUCCUUAGUACGAGAGGACCGGGAUGGACGUACCUCUGGUGUACCAGUUGUCCUGCCAAGGGCAUGGCUGGGUAGCUAGGUACGGAAUGGAUAAGCGCUGAAAGCAUCUAAGCGCGAAGCCAACUUCAAGAUAAGAUUUCCCACCGCAAGGGUAAGACCCCAGAAAGACUAUCUGGUUGAUAGGUCGAAGGUGUAAGUGCAGCAAUGUAUUUAGCUUAUCGAUACUAAUAGGUCGAGGACUUGACCA